GAAAGGCAGUUGACCAGUGGACCCAUGUGUCAAGCUUGUUUAUUGGUGGUGACUUGGUGACAAAUAUGUAACUAUUUAAAAGGUAUCUAAAUUUCAAUAUUUGUAAGCAAUAUUUUCCCUGUGAAGAUUAUCUGAGGGAUAAGUUCAUGCUCCUUCACUGAAAGUGUAGCAUGCAGUACACAUAUUUACAUAUAUAAAGAGAAGUGUUUUGUUUUUACUUUAAAGAAGCUAUAUAUAGUAAAACUAUUAUUUGUGUACACAUCAAUGAAGCACUGAUUGUUACUAGGGUAUAUAGCUAGUGGACAACUUUCCAAAUUCUAUGAAAGUCUUAUUUUAGAUUGUGGUUCUCUUAAUAAGAAAAUAAUAACAUGUUUGCAUCAUUUUUAUAUUUCAGGUUAUAGCCAAUAUAGCUGAGACAAUGGAACCCUGGAAGACGCCCUUCCCUCACUAAAGUAUUUUUUAAUUUUCACUGUUGGAGAUUGCGGUGGCAUCAGAAAAGAGAGGACUGUUUCCAGCCACAGGUGUAGGCAGUCUUUCUCCAAUGGCCUUGUUGUGCAGACGGCAACAACACUCAAUUAACCGGACACACUUCUCAGGAGCAUAAGCCAAAGCCCCACCAGAAAUAGGCAUUAAACAGCUUCAUAAUAAAGAUGGUUUGAUGGCCUUGAUACAUCGAAGUAGCACAGAAUAAUGUUUACCGGAAUCUAGACUUGAGGACACCAAAGGCUCUCUCGACACAGUUCCUCGUCUUCGCGUGACUGGCAUUAUACCUUUCCUCUUGUGGUGUUGUCGGGUGAAGAAUUGGCGUCAUCAGCCAGGGCCCUAAUGGAUAGCCACUGUCUCCCAAGAGCCAGCCUCCCCCUUCCAGUCUAUCCAUUAAUGCAGGAAUGCCUGAGUUAGUCUCCAGUGACGACACCUUGGACGUUUAUGGCAUGAAAACCUUUUCGUGAAACAAAUACAUGUUCAUCAUCCCCUGACAUCCCCAUGAUU